UGCUCUGGUGGCGAGUGGCGAACGGGUGAGUAAUAUAUCGGAACGUACCCUAGAGUGGGGGAUAACGUAGCGAAAGUUACGCUAAUACCGCAUACGAUCUAAGGAUGAAAGUGGGGGAUCGCAAGACCUCAUGCUCGUGGAGCGGCCGAUAUCUGAUUAGCUAGUUGGUAGGGUAAAAGCCUACCAAGGCAUCGAUCAGUAGCUGGUCUGAGAGGACGACCAGCCACACUGGAACUGAGACACGGUCCAGACUCCUACGGGAGGCAGCAGUGGGGAAUUUUGGACAAUGGGCGAAAGCCUGAUCCAGCAAUGCCGCGUGAGUGAAGAAGGCCUUCGGGUUGUAAAGCUCUUUUGUCAGGGAAGAAACGGUGAAAGCUAAUAUCUUUUGCUAAUGACGGUACCUGAAGAAUAAGCACCGGCUAACUACGUGCCAGCAGCCGCGGUAAUACGUAGGGUGCAAGCGUUAAUCGGAAUUACUGGGCGUAAAGCGUGCGCAGGCGGUUUUGUAAGUCUGAUGUGAAAUCCCCGGGCUCAACCUGGGAAUUGCAUUGGAGACUGCAAGGCUAGAAUCUGGCAGAGGGGGGUAGAAUUCCACGUGUAGCAGUGAAAUGCGUAGAUAUGUGGAGGAACACCGAUGGCGAAGGCAGCCCCCUGGGUCAAGAUUGACGCUCAUGCACGAAAGCGUGGGGAGCAAACAGGAUUAGAUACCCUGGUAGUCCACGCCCUAAACGAUGUCUACUAGUUGUCGGGUCUUAAUUGACUUGGUAACGCAGCUAACGCGUGAAGUAGAC
rnacentral:rRNA from 1 species